UAUGUUGUGUGCAGUGCCAGCUGACAGAAAAAAAAUGUAAUGUAGUUACAUUUCUCAGGUGUACGUCAGAUUACGACGUAGGUUAUAACGUCCGGUUUAGAGGGGUUUGCGGUCAAGUCGUAGGUUGCGAGGUAGAUUUCCCGUUGGGCAUGCGAGUGACCGCAGCAAUCUAGCAACUAAAAGAAUCACAAGGAGGUCAUUGAUGUAGCACGUUAUAGCUCUUUGAGACCAUUUUUUUUUUUGUUAGCAACUGCCAGCAACCUCCAGCAACCACUCACCAACUGGCUGUUAAAAUACUCUGGUUUCCAUAGCAACUGCUGGUUACCAAGGGAUCACUGACCGGUCUUUAGCCAUGACUGAGACCCUAACGUUAUCAUUAAAGCUAAAUUACUAAAAUCUGCAUCACUUUGAUCAUUUUGAUGUUGUCAUAGAUGGUGAGGUGCAUGUGUCGCACUCUCCACUCAAAGCGAAGACAAAAAAACAACCCCAAAAAUGAAGAACUUAUGAGCAAAACCAAAAUGAUUUUGCAAUAAAUACACCAGCUCAUUAGAGAGUGAGAGCAGUGAAUAGCAUCUGUCUCCUCGAUCAUGUCUAACAAAGGUCACGGCGGAGCGAGCGAUGAGAUUGCAUCUCGGCGUCUGUCACCCUCCAAGCCACAUGCAGACACUACAUCGAGAAACAUCGAGUUAAGAAUACAGAUGAACUGCAAAUUCUGCUUUACAGAUGGGCGAGUUGAUGUGCUCGUCAGAAAGGUGCUGAAAUGUUCCUGCAAAUGUGUUUUGCUGCUCUUCGGGUGAAUUAUAGUUGGCAAAAGUACGCCUGCCAACUGCAGAUGGAACAAACUGUUCACAUGACUGAGCUUCUCUUCCGUUUGUCAGUCGCUUAGCUUCAUUACCGAGUGCCUAAGGUGAACUGCGACAGGUGCUUCUAAACUGCUCUCGUCUGGAUUGGUUCAUUAUAACUUGGCUCAGCAGGUCAGCAUGCGGAUACGGAGGUGUUUAUUGGCUGCUGGCCUUGGUUCCCUGGCAAACCCCGCCGCGCCCAGCUGAUCAUCUUCCAGACUGGGAGCUGGAGGCGCUCCAGUCUGACACAUGCACAGUACAGUGGAGUCCAGCAGCCACAUGGAAGGAAAGAGGCUGACACACAUAGCAGCACAGGGGGACCAAUGAGACUCCAGGAAAGGGAUGCCGACGAGCUAUUUUCAUCCUCAAGACUCUGAAUGUGGCAGACCCCGAGAAGCAGGUGCACCUCAUCGAAGCCAGAUUUCAGACCCACCGUCUCCUAGCAACAACACCAGAAGACGAGAGCACCACCAGCUCCACCAGGGCUACUGCUAUUUACCAAAACGUCGUCUGGCUUUGUUUGGCUGUUUUGUCAUUAAAAAAAAACGACAAAGAAAGGGGGAAAAAAGUAGGCCACCAGUUCUUGUUAAACUGUUAAACGCUAAACUGAACUGGUUUAAACACAGAAGACAAACUGGAUUAAGCAUAGAUAUAAAAUAUGUUUUGCAGUGUCUGUGAAGUGCGAUUGAGGGGUGUUCCUCAGGUCACCCCUCAGGACUGUUAAUGCAACACGGCGCUGUAGGAUUCAUCACUUCAUCACUACAGUACAGUAUAUUUAUAUUAAUACCAAGGCUUCCAGCUAUGUCAGAGUCUUUUAUUUGAUUAAAGACGACCAACAGUGCAACAGCAUGUCAUUAAUUAUGAAGACAGAUCUCCACAGAUCUUUUAUAGUUGAUAUUUGGCCUCAGGGAGGAAUUUCUUUUCAAACAAACUGCUCUAUCAUUGGUUAAUUGAACACUGUAGUUCUAUGUAGUAAUAUGCAAAAACAUUUCGUUGUGUUGAUCUGUUUCUUCCUGAUUAAUUUCCUCAAAGUCAACAAUGCAACUUGGAAAUACUUAAAGGGAAUACAGAGGCCGUGUCCAAUUAGUACAGCUUAAAUCUAUUAAUCACAAUAACAGGAUUUGCCGGCAUAACCAACAGCUGAAUGUGCAAAAUGCAAAUGAAAUUUGUUUACAGGCAGUAAAUGAAGAAUGGGUGUAUACUUUAGUGUAAAUGGGGCAGUUCCUUCAGUGUAAACCCAAUUUUUCUUGUAAUUAAUACCAAAAUACACUGCACCUCAAAACUUGGUGGGAAGUUGUGAAAUUACUGACCUUUAUGGCUUGUGAAAGCUCACGUAUUCUUCAACCAACAGAACUCUUAUGAAAUCCCUCUUAACAUGAGAAUGCACAUUUUCUCAGGGCUUAAAACAGAAGUUUUUCUUACCUCAUGAGGCCUUGGAGAAUCAGUGGUCACAGGUUGGUCAACUCAUGCUGUCCCUUCAAAUGUUAAGUAUUAGUCAGAUGCCAAAACUCCUGGAGACACUGCACGCGAAAGGGAGAAUUUCACAGAGGUGUUUGUUAAAGAAGCGGUGCGGUGUGGUUGAAAAAUGAAGCAAAAGUGAUGUGCUGUGGAUUGCA